AACGAACGCUGGCGGCAUGCCUAACACAUGCAAGUCGAACGAGAACUUCGGGUCUAGUGGUGCACGGGUGCGUAACGCGUGGGAACCUGCCCUUAGGUUCGGAUUAACUCCCCGAAAGGGGUGCUAAUACCGGAUAAUGUCUUCGGACCAAAGAUUUAUCGACCUUGGAUGGGCCCGCGUUGGAUUAGCUAUCUGGUAGGGUAAAAGCCUACCAAGGCGACGUUCCAUAGCUGGUCGGAGAGGAUGAUCAGCCACACUGGGACUGAGACACGGCCCAGACUCCUACAGGAGGCAGCAGUGGGGAAUAUUGGACAGUGGGCUAAAGCCAGAGCCAGCAAAGCCGGGUGAGUGAUGAAGGCCUUAGGGUUGUAAAGCUCUUUUACCCGGGAUGAUAAUGACAGUACCGGGAGAAUAAGCUCCGGCUAACUCCGUG
rnacentral:rRNA from 1 species